AGCGUCAUUUCACCCCUCAAGCCUGGCUUGGUGUUGGGCGACGUCCUCUUCAGGGACGCGCCUCGAACGUUCGGCGGCGUGGCACCGGCUUUAAGCGUAGCAGAAUCUUGUCUUUCGCUUUGAAAGUCGGGGCCAUGUCUGCCGGAAGACCUACUCGCAAGGUUGACCUCGGAUCAGGCAGGGAUACCCGCUGAACUUAA
rnacentral:misc_RNA from 1 species